UACGUAGGUGGCAAGCGUUGUCCGGAAUUAUUGGGCGUAAAGGGCGCGUAGGUGGUGGCUUAAGCGUGCGGUGAAAGCUCGGGGCUCAACCCCGAGUCGGCCGUGCGAACUGGGCUCACUGGAGCAUAGUAGAGGCAGGUGGAAUUCCGGGUGUAGCGGUGGAAUGCGUAGAGAUCCGGAAGAACACCAGUGGCGAAGGCGGCCGGCUGGGGGCGCCCUGACGCUGAGGCGCGAGAGCGUGGGGAGCAAACCGG
rnacentral:rRNA from 1 species